rnacentral:misc_RNA from 1 species
UCCGGUUUGUCACCGGCAGUCCCAUUAGAGUGCCCAACUUAAUGUGGCAACUAAUGGCAAGGGUUGCGCUCGUUGCGGGACUUAACCCAACAUCUCACGACACGAGCUGACGACAGCCAUGCAGCACCUGUGUUCCAGGCCCCGAAGGGAAGGUCACAUCUCUGCGACCGGUCCUGGACAUGUCAAGAGCUGGUAAGGUUCUGCGCGUUGCGUCGAAUUAAACCACAUGCUCCACCGCUUGUGCGGGUCCCCGUCAAUUCCUUUGAGUUUUAAUCUUGCGACCGUACUCCCCAGGCGGAAUGCUUAAAGCGUUAGCUGCGCCACCAAAACCCUAAGGGCCCUGACAGCUAGUUCUCAUCGUUUACGGCGUGGACUAC